rnacentral:rRNA from 1 species
UGGGGAAUAUUGGACAAUGGGGGGAACCCUGAUCCAGCCAUGCCGCGUGUGUGAAGAAGGCCUUAUGGUUGUAAAGCACUUUAAGCAGUGAAGAAUACAUCAUGGCUAAUAUCCGUGAUGAAUGACAUUAGCUGCAGAAUAAGCACCGGCUAACUCUGUGCCAGCAGCCGCGGUAAUACAGAGGGUGCGAGCGUUAAUCGGAAUUACUGGGCGUAAAGCGAGCGUAGGUGGUUUAUUAAGUCAGAUGUGAAAUCCCUGGGCUUAACCUAGGAACUGCAUCUGAUACUGACAAACUAGAGUAGGUGAGAGGAAAGUAGAAUUCCAGGUGUAGCGGUGAAAUGCGUAGAGAUCCGGAGGAAUACCGAUGGCGAAGGCAGCUUUCUGGCAUCAUACUGACACUGAGGUUCGAAAGCGUGGGUAGCAAACAGGAUUAGAUACCCUGGUAAUCCACGCCGUAAACGAUGUCUACCAGUCGUUGGGUCUUUUAAAGACUUAGUGACGCAGUUAACGCGAUAAGUAGACCGCCUGGGGAGUACGGCCGCAAGGUUA